GCCCGCCUCUCUUCUCCAAGCAGGGCUCCCAUCUCUUCAGGCCGGGCUAACAUCAUUACACACUCCUGUCAGUUGACCACAGGUAACUGAAAUGUGGGACACUGAAGACAGGAAGAAGGGUCUGCUGUAUGCAGACAUGGUGAUGUUUCUCAUAAGGCCCUCAGAGAUCUUGGGCUUUGCACUCUAUUUUUAACAAUGAGUCCUUUGCCUUGAGAUGCUGUUGGCUGUCCAAACUCAUGAUGCAGAAGAUAUCUCUCCGUUUUGAACAAACCAAAACAACAACAACAACAAAUCCUACAGGUAUCACAGGAACCAUCCGUGUAACUUUCACAACAUAAUUUGCUGCAAAAAUGCAGAGUGUAGUCUCUAUCGGAUCUUCAAGUGCUGUGUGGAACCUCUGUCAAGAUGCAUCUUUCAUGUUUCCAUAUUACGUAAACAUUCAUUUUUAGGAGCAACAAGAACCUGCUUUGUGGAUAAUGAAAAAUGAUGCUUGACUAUAUUUUAUAGAGGAGGAAUUUUAAUCCAGCAAUAUGUCUGCUCUGGCAAGGAACCACAUCCAAAGAUCCAGGUCUGUGUGAUCUGGGUGGAACACAGACAUGACCUACACCUUUAAUCCCAAACAAUGCAGAGACUAGAAGAUUUCUUAUGUCACUUUUUAUCUGCACCACCACUUUGCCUUUAAAGAAGAUGUAUCCCAAUUUUCAAGACCAGACCUUAUGUACUGUACUGAAGAUUAUCCGUUAGUGACAGCAAACUAUACCACAUCACAGGAAAAGACUAUUUCAAAUCUCUAAAAUGUCAGGAGCAGAGAAAGUUCUGAGUCUGUGGAGUGAAUAUCUUUUGAUAAAGGUGCAGCCAUGUUAAUGACUUCAAAUCGUUGGGCUCAGAGGGAUGGCAAAGCCUUCCAAGGGAACUGAAGGACUGGAUUCCCAAAAGGUUUGGAGUGAUGUUCUCCUGGUAACUUCACAUAAGAAGCUGCUGUAGAUUGGACUCUACAGAUUAAACAAUGCCAAAUGCAAUGGGCCAGAGAGAUGGUUCAGUGAUUAAACGUGUGUACUACUUUUGCCCAACACCUGAGAUGGCUUCCCAGCACCUACAUUACACAGUUGGUCAUUGCCUCUGAUCACAGCUCCAAUAGAUCGGGCAUCCUUUUCUGUCCUCUGUGGGCAUGCUUUUGCUUGUGUGCAUAUACACAGACACACACAAAUAUGUGCAUAAACAUUACCCAAAAGACAAUAAACCUUUUAUAAAAUAAAGUGCUUUGUGGAACUUAACUCUUUAAAACAAGUGAUGCUGUAUGAAGUGUUGCUGUUUUUGUAAGUCUUAAAGCUCAAAAAGGUGAUUGUAAGGUCACUGUUUGAAUCUCUCAAGCAAAACUGCUGUGUGAAGUGCACAAUAAAGUCCAUCUUAAGGGAUAAUCCAAAUAUGCAUUUUAUUAAAGAAAUAAUCUAU
ensembl:lincRNA Gm13974 uncharacterized LOC110307995